rnacentral:rRNA from 1 species
UCCAGUUGAUCCUGCUGGAGGGUACUGCUAUUGGGGUUUGAUUAAGCCAUGCACGUUAGGGCUCACGGCAAGUGAGCCCAGCAGACAGCUCAGUAACACGUGGACAAUCUGCUCUUAGGUGGAGGAUAACCUCGGGAAACUGAGGAUAAUAAUCUAUAGGUGAGAAGCUCUGGAAUGAGUCUUGCUUAAAGGCGCCAGCCUGUUCCGGCUGGUUGUGCCUAAGAAGGAGUCUGCGGCGGAUUAGGUUGAUGUUAGGGUAAUGGCCUAACAUGCCCACGAUCUGUAUCGGCUAUGAGAGUAGGAGCCGGGAGAUGGAUACUGAGACAAGGAUCCAGGCCCUACGGGGCGCAGCAGGCGCGAAAUCUUCGCAAUGUGCUAACGCACGACGAGGGAACCCCAAGUGCUCUUGUACAACAAGAGUUUUUGCGGAGUAUAAAAAGCUCCGAGAAUAAGGGCUGGGUAAGGCUGGUGCCGGCCUCCGCGGUAAAACCAGCAGCUCUAGUGGUACUCGCGUUUAUUGGGCUUAAAGCGUACGUAGUCGGUUCGGCAAGUUCCCUGUGAAAUCCUGUGACUCAAUUACAGGGCCUGCGGGGAAUACUACCGGGCUAGGAACCGGGAUAGGUCAGGGGUAUUCCUUGGGUAGCGGUGAAAUGCUAUAAUCCAAGGAAGACCACCAAUAGCGAAGGCACCUGUCUGGAACGGGUUCGACGAUGAGGGACGAAAGCUAGGGGAGCAAACGGGAUUAGAUACCCCGGUAGUCCUAGCCGUAAACGAUGCAGACUAAGUGUUUCCCGAACUUUGCGUUCGGGAAGCGUUGAAGGGAAACCGUUAAGUCUGCCGUCUGGGGAGUACGGUCGCAAGGCUGAAACUUAAAGGAAUUGGCGGGGGAGCACCACAAGGGGUGGAGUCUGCGGUUUAAUUGGAUACAACGCCGGGAAACUUACCAGGGGCGACGGCAGGAUGACGGCCAGGCUGAAGGUCUUGCCAGACGAGCCGAGAGGUAGUGCAUGGCCGCCGUCAGCUCGUACCGUAAGGCGUGCGGUUAAGUCCGUUAACGAGCGAGAUCCGUGCCUUUAUUUGCCAGCCUCCUCGAUGGAGGGGGUGCACUAUAAAGGGACCGCUGGUGAUGAACCAGAGGAAGGUGCGGUCGACGAUAGGUCUGUAUGCUCCGAAUCUCCUGGGCUACACGUGGACUACAAUGGCGCAGACAAUGGGUUGCCACUCCGAAAGGAGACAGCUAAUCCCCUAAAUUGCGUCUUAGUUCGGAUUGAGGGUUGUAACCUACCCUCAUGAAGAUGAAAUCCCUAGUAAUCGCUAGUUAUCAUCUAGCGGUGAAUAUGUCCCCGCUCCUUGCACACACCGCCCGUCAAACCAACCGAGUGGAUCUCUAACGAGGCAUCCCCAUUCGAGGGUGUCGAGUUAAAGGUUCGCAAGGGGGGUUAAGUCGUAACAAGGUA